rnacentral:rRNA from 1 species
GACGAACGCUGGCGGCGUGCUUAACACAUGCAAGUCGAACGGAAAGACCCUGCUUUUGUGGGGUGCUCGAGUGGCGAACGGGUGAGUAACACGUGAGUAACCUGCCCUUGACUUUGGGAUAACUUCAGGAAACUGGGGCUAAUACCGGAUAGGAGCUCCUGCUGCAUGGUGGGGGUUGGAAAGUUUCGGCGGUUGGGGAUGGACUCGCGGCUUAUCAGCUUGUUGGUGGGGUAGUGGCUUACCAAGGCUUUGACGGGUAGCCGGCCUGAGAGGGUGACCGGCAAAAUGGGGCCGGGAAUAGGGCCCAGACUCCAACGGGGGGCAGCAGGGGGGAAUAUUGAACAAGGGGGGGAAGCCGGAUGCAGCAACGCCGGGGGGGGGAUGACGGCCUUGGGGUUGAAAACCGCUUUGCCCUGUGACGAAGGGUGGGUGACGGUAAUGGGUAAAGAAGCACCGGCUAACUACGU